rnacentral:lncRNA from 1 species
UAGACUAAAGCGGUAUAUUUGGGCUUGUGGUGCCCGACGAAACUACAAGAAGCUGCUGGGCUCCUGUGGCUCCCACAAGGAGCGCCUGAAUGUCCUCAGGGCUGAGCUGGAAGCACUGGGCAUGAAGGGUAAUCCUUCCUUAGAGAAGUGUCGGGCUCUGAAGCAGCAUCGGGAAGAGGCAGCUGAAGUGGCUUCCUUGGAUGUUGCCAAUAUCAUCAGCAGUUCAGGUAAACAAUUUCCUCUUUGGGGAAGGAAGAGCCUGGGGUCAGGUAACUAAUUUUCUCUCACCACCUCCCAGGCCGACCACGAAGACGAAAUGCAUGGAACCCUUCAGGGGAAGCAAUCUCUCCAGGGGAGCUUUAUCACCGAACCCUGGACUCAGAUGAGGAGCGGCCACGUCAAGCACCUCCAGACUGGUCUCAUAUGCGUGGUAUCAUCAGCAGUGAUGGUGAGAGUAGCUGAACUCCAUGUCCAGGAUGGACCAAUACCCUGUUAUACAAGUGCUUGUAGCACUGAAGCAACUUUCAAAGACAGACUACAGCAGCAGGAUCCAAGUUAUCGGUACACUACUCAAUUUCAUAUUCUCUAAGGUGGUUUUGGGGUUUGUGUGCAAACAGCCUCUUAAAGCAUUUGAGGCGGUUGUUGUUUUAUUUUUAAAGACUCAAUAAAAUGUAAUUACUUUAUCC